rnacentral:rRNA from 1 species
UACGUAGGGAGCAAGCGUUGUCCGGAAUCAUUGGGCGUAAAGCGCGCGUAGGUGGCCUCAUAAGUCCGCUGUGAAAGUCAAAGGCUCAACCUUUGAAAGCCGGUGGAUACUGUGAGGCUAGAGUACGGAAGAGGCGAGUGGAAUUCCUGGUGUAGCGGUGGAAUGCUCAGAUAUCAGGAGGAACACCAAUAGCGAAGGCAGCUCGCUGGGACGUUACUGACACUGAGGCGCGAAAGCGUGGGGAGCGAACAGG